GCUGGGCAUGGUGGCGCACGCCUGUAGUCCCAGCUACUCGGGACGCUGAGGCAAGAGAAUUGCUUGAACCCAGGAGGCGGAGGUUGCAGUGAGCCAAGAUCGUGCCAUUGCACUCCAGCCUGGGUAACAAGAGUGAAACUCUGUCUCAAAAAAAAAAAAGUUUCUCUUUAAUUUUUUUUUUUUUUUUUUUGGAGACUGGGUCUUGCUCUGUCACCCAGCCUGGAGUGCAGUGGCGUGAUCUCAGCUCACUGCAACCUCUGCCUCCUGGGUUCAAGCAAUUCUCUGUCUCAG
rnacentral:sRNA from 13 species